GCGACGCCGGGCUGCAACCGCCGCCGGCCGCCCCGCCCGGGAGGCGUGAGCCUUCGGUCGCCGAGGGCCGCGUGAGGGUCCGAGUGAAGGUCCGAGUGGCUCGCCCGCCCGUUCCCCCCCAUCCUCCGGCUCGGUAGCCGCGACGCGCACUCUCGCCCUGGCCUGGCCCCGUUAGCGGGGGCCUGGCCCGUCUCGUAGAGCCGAAGCCGCUUCCUUCGGAGUUGGGCGACCUCGGUCAAAACGCUUAACUCUUCCUGUCCUCGUUUUUCCUCGGCCGCGAAGUGGGGGCUGCACCAGCAUCAAGAAGCUAGGGAUCAAAUCCACCACUGGCAUACACCACAGCCACACCAGAUCCUCACACGGCUUCGACCUACACCGUAGCUCAAGGCAAUGCAGGAUCCUUAACCCGGCCUAAAUGAAUUGCAAUUUCUUCAGUGAAACCUUUCAUGACACCCUUAGGAAGCUGAACAUCCCUUCUUCAGGAUUCCAGUUGCAUUUAUGCCGUAAUUACCGUAGUCCCAUUUCCUCUUCUGUACUACAUUCUGAACUUUUUUGAUGGCAAGCCCUAUCAUUUGUGUAUAUGUGUCCCAGAUGCUGGGAUAUUGCUUGUCACAUCAUAGACGUUCGAUAACUAUUUGCUGAAUUAAGACAUUCAUAAGUGAAAAGUCAAAUAGCAUAGAAGGAUUUAAAGAACACUUUCUGGAUAGUCUCAAAGACAUCAUGAGGCAGUCCAUAAUUAAUUGCUGAAUGAAUCAUACACCAGUAAGUGCAAGAGAAAUCAGAGGAGGCGCAUCUCAUACAUCUUUGUAUAUUCCCCAGAGCCCUAGCAAACUGACUUGCUCAUAGUGGAAGCUCAGUAAAUGCUCUGUGAAUGAACAAUCACAGUUUUUGAAUCAAGUGAUGAUGGGCAAUUGAAGAACAAGCAGUGUAAGUGCUGAAUUAAGAUGGAUGGAGUAGUUUUUUGCUUAGACAUCCAACACCAGCCUCCACAGAUUUGAGGCAGUAAGCAUUUGCUAGGUGAUAUCAGGAGCACUAGGUUGGCGAUUGCUUGGAGGUGGGGAGGACAUAAGAAAAAGUGUAAAGUAUUCGUUUGAGGAGUGUAGACUUAAAACAAGAAAACUUUAUACACAAGACAGAGAACAGGCAUAACUGUACAAAAAAGGAGCUACCAACUGUGCAAAAUGUUUGACAGCAAUAAGAGCCAUGCGCAAGAAGAGAAGAGCAGACCCUCUUUUGAUGGAGUAUUUGGGAAAGUUUAAUGGAGGGAAGAGCAUGUAGGGCCUAAUGAGCAUCUACUAUGUGCCAGGGAAUCCAGUAGUUACUAAGAAAUGAUGUUAAAGGGCUUUAGAUGAUAAAAGUCCGAUAACAGUAGGGUUAGAAUAGGAGAUAAAGUAACUGAUUAGAGGAAAAGGAAUGUGGUUUCAAAUAUUCUUAGAGCCUGAUGACCCCAGGCUGAAGAACAGGACUCGGGGGUACCAUCAAAAUCAGGGUUGUUCUGCCAGACUGUGGAGCGAAAAACAUUGAUAUAUCUUAUUUCAUCCAUUUCUUCGUGUAGGUUAAUGACCUUAUUUCCUGACACCAACAAGGUUGAGGGGGAAAAUGCCAGUGAAAGGAAAACCCUCCCAAAUGGCUGUUAUAUCUUCUUUUUCAUAGUAGUUCCAAUAAAAAACUCAAUUGGUUAAAGAGUUUAUAACCAGUAACUGAUCCAGAAAAAUAAAUUUAAAUCUUUUAUUCUUA